UACGUAGGGGGCAAGCGUUGUCCGGAAUCAUUGGGCGUAAAGAGCGUGUAGGCGGUUCGGUAAGUCGGCUGUGAAAGUCCAGGGCUCAACCCUGGGAUGCCGGUCGAUACUGCCGGACUAGAGUUCGGAAGAGGCGAGUGGAACUCCUGGUGUAGCGGUGGAAUGCGCAGAUAUCAGGAAGAACACCAACGGCGAAGGCAGCUCGCUGGGACGGAACUGACGCUAAGGCGCGAAAGCGUGGGGAGCGAACAGG
rnacentral:rRNA from 1 species